GACGAACGCUGGCGGCGUGCCUAAUACAUGCAAGUCGAGCGAAGUUUUUCUGGUGCUUGCACUAGAAAAACUUAGCGGCGAACGGGUGAGUAACACGUAAAGAACCUGCCUCAUAGACUGGGACAACUAUUGGAAACGAUAGUUAAUACCGGAUAACAGUAUUUCUCGCAUGAGAGAUAUUUAAAAGUUGGUUAUGCUAACACUAUGAGAUGGCUUUGCGGUGCAUUAGCUAGUUGGUGGGGUAAAGGCCCACCAAGGCGACGAUGCAUAGCCGACCUGAGAGGGUGAUCGGCCACACUGGGACUGAGACACGGCCCAGACUCCUACGGGAGGCAGCAGUAGGGAAUCUUCCGCAAUGGGCGAAAGCCUGACGGAGCAACGCCGCGUGAGUGAAGAAGGAUUUCGGUUCGUAAAGCUCUGUUGUUAGGGAAGAAUGGAUAUGUAGUAACUAUACAUGUAAGAGACGGUACCUAACCAGAAAGCCACGGCUAACUACGUG
rnacentral:rRNA from 1 species